rnacentral:rRNA from 1 species
CCUACGGGAGGCAGCAGGGAGGAAUAGUGGUCAAUGGACGCAAGUCUGAACCAGCCAAGCAGCGGGCAGGAAGACGGCUCUAUGAGUUGUAAACUGCUUUUGUACGAGGGUAAACUCAGAUACGUGUAUCUGUCUGAAAGUAUCGUACGAAUAAGGAUCGGCUAACUCCGUGCCAGCAGCCGCGGUAAUACGGAGGAUUCAAGCGUUAUCCGGAUUUAUUGGGUUUAAAGGGUGCGUAGGUGGUCGGAUAAGUUAGAGGUGAAAUCCCGGGGCUCAACUUCGGAAUUGCCUCUGAUACUGUUGGGCUAGAGCGUGGUUGCGGUAGGCGGAAUGUGUGGUGUAGCGGUGAAAUGCUUAGAGAUCAUGCAGAACACCGAUUGCGAAGGCAGCUUACCAGGCUACAUCUGACGUUGAGGCACGAAAGCGUGGGGAGCAAACAGGAUUAGAUACCCGGGUAGUC